rnacentral:rRNA from 1 species
AAUAAGCUAAGUAAGGGCGUAUGGGGAAUGCCUAGGCUCUCAGAGGCGAUGAAGGACGUGAUAAGCUGCGAUAAGUUGCGGGGAUUGGCACAUACAAUGUGAUCCGCAAAUUUCCGAAUGGGGCAACCCGGCAUAUUGAAGAUAUGUCAUCCUUUCGAGGAAGCAAACCCGGAGAACUGAAACAUCUAAGUACCCGGAGGAGAAGAAAACAAAAGUGAUUCCGUUAGUAGUGGCGAGCGAACGCGGAGAAGCCCAAACCAGUGUUGUUACGGCAAUACUGGGGUUGUAGGACCACGAUAUUUGAUGCUCAACGAAUUAGAACACUUUGGAAAGAGUGACCGCAGAGGGUGAUAGUCCCGUAUAGGUAAGUUGAGUUAUUGAUAG